AAGGAGCACCACGAAAAGGGUUGAGACACUGGGUCUUACCCGAGCCGUGAGGAACCGGUUGCCUGUAGUGGGCACGGUUUGGUGCACAACAAACUUUUUUGACUGCCAGACACACUAUUGGGCUUUGAGACAACAGGCCCGUGCCCCUUUUGGGGGGUGGCAUCCGGUUGCGGGUGUCGGCGUGUUGUUGCCUCACUUUGGUGGUGGGGUGUGGUGUUUGAUUUGUGGAUAGUGGUUGCGAGCAUCUAGCACGCAGAAUCGUGUGGUCUCACUCCUUGUGGGUGGGGCUGGUUUUGUGUGUUGAUGUGCAAUUUCUUUUGAAACUCAUUUUUGGUUUUUGUGUUGUAAGUGUUUAAGGGCGC
rnacentral:misc_RNA from 1 species